rnacentral:rRNA from 1 species
UUAAGCGACUAAGCGUACACGGUGGAUGCCCUGGCAGUCAGAGGCGAUGAAGGACGUGCUAAUCUGCGAAAAGCGUCGGUAAGGUGAUAUGAACCGUUAUAGCCGGCGAUGUCCGAAUGGGGAAACCCAGUGCAAUUCGUUGCACUAUCGUUUGAUGAAUACAUAGUCAAACGAGGCGAACCGGGGGAACUGAAACAUCUAAGUACCCCGAGGAAAAGAAAUCAACCGAGAUUCCCCCAGUAGCGGCGAGCGAACGGGGAGCAGCCCGGAGUCUGAAUCAGCUUGUGUGUUAGUGGAAGCGUCUGGAAAGUCGCAGGGUACAGGGUGAUACUCCCGUACACUAAAACACACAGGUUGUGAACUCGAAGAGUAGGGCGGGACACGUGGUAUCCUGUCUGAAUAUGGGGGGACCAUCCUCCAAGGCUAAAUACUCCUGACUGACCGAUAGUGAACCAGUACCGUGAGGGAAAGGCGAAAAGAACCCCGGCGAGGGGAGUGAAAAAGAACCUGAAACCGUGUACGUACAAGCAGUAGGAGCCUCUUUAUGGGGUGACUGCGUACCUUUUGUAUAAUGGGUCAGCGACUUAUAUUCUGUAGCAAGGUUAACCGUAUAGGGGAGCCGCAGGGAAACCGAGUCUUAACUGGGCGUUAAGUUGCAGGGUAUAGACCCGAAACCCGGUGAUCUAGCCAUGGGCAGGUUGAAGGUUGGGUAACACUAACUGGAGGACCGAACCGACUAAUGUUGAAAAAUUAGCGGAUGACUUGUGGCUGGGGGUGAAAGGCCAAUCAAACCGGGAGAUAGCUGGUUCUCCCCGAAAGCUAUUUAGGUAGCGCCUCGUGAAUUCAUCUUCGGGGGUAGAGCACUGUUUCGGCUAGGGGGUCAUCCCGACUUACCAACCCGAUGCAAACUACGAAUACCGAAGAAUGUUAUCACGGGAGACACACGGCGGGUGCUAACGUCCGUCGUGAAGAGGGAAACAACCCAGACCGCCAGCUAAGGUCCCAAAGUCAUGGUUAAGUGGGAAACGAUGUGGGAAGGCCCAGACAGCCAGGAUGUUGGCUUAGAAGCAGCCAUCAUUUAAAGAAAGCGUAAUAGCUCACUGGUCGAGUCGGCCUGCGCGGAAGAUGUAACGGGGCUAAACCAUGCACCGAAGCUGCGGCAGCGACACUAUGUGUUGUUGGGUAGGGGAGCGUUCUGUAAGCCGUUGAAGGUGGCCUGUGAGGGUUGCUGGAGGUAUCAGAAGUGCGAAUGCUGACAUAAGUAACGAUAAUGCGGGUGAAAAACCCGCACGCCGGAAGACCAAGGGUUCCUGUCCAACGUUAAUCGGGGCAGGGUGAGUCGACCCCUAAGGCGAGGCCGAAAGGCGUAGUCGAUGGGAAACAGGUUAAUAUUCCUGUACUCGGUGUUACUGCGAAGGGGGGACGGAGAAGGCUAUGUUGGCCGGGCGACGGUUGUCCCGGUUUAAGCAUGUAGGCGGAUGUUCCAGGUAAAUCCGGAACGUUACUAACGCUGAGGUGUGAUGACGAGGCACUACGGUGCUGAAGUGACAAAUGCCCUGCUUCCAGGAAAAGCCUCUAAGCAUCAGGUAACAUCAAAUCGUACCCCAAACCGACACAGGUGGUCAGGUAGAGAAUACCAAGGCGCUUGAGAGAACUCGGGUGAAGGAACUAGGCAAAAUGGUGCCGUAACUUCGGGAGAAGGCACGCUGAUAUGUAGGUGAAGUGGUUUACCCAUGGAGCUGAAAUCAGUCGAAGAUACCAGCUGGCUGCAACUGUUUAUUAAAAACACAGCACUGUGCAAACACGAAAGUGGACGUAUACGGUGUGACGCCUGCCCGGUGCCGGAAGGUUAAUUGAUGGGGUUAUCCGUAAGGAGAAGCUCUUGAUCGAAGCCCCGGUAAACGGCGGCCGUAACUAUAACGGUCCUAAGGUAGCGAAAUUCCUUGUCGGGUAAGUUCCGACCUGCACGAAUGGCGUAAUGAUGGCCAGGCUGUCUCCACCCGAGACUCAGUGAAAUUGAACUCGCUGUGAAGAUGCAGUGUACCCGCGGCAAGACGGAAAGACCCCGUGAACCUUUACUAUAGCUUGACACUGAACACUGGUCCUUGAUGUGUAGGAUAGGUGGGAGGCUUUGAAGCGUGGACGCCAGUCUGCGUGGAGCCAUCCUUGAAAUACCACCCUUUAAUGGCUGGUGUUCUAACGUGGGCCCGUUAUCCGGGUUGCGGACAGUGUCUGGUGGGUAGUUUGACUGGGGCGGUCUCCUCCUAAAGAGUAACGGAGGAGCACGAAGGUCAGCUAAUCCUGGUCGGACAUCAGGAGGUUAGUGCAAUGGCAUAAGCUGGCUUGACUGCGAGCGUGACGGCGCGAGCAGGUGCGAAAGCAGGUCAUAGUGAUCCGGUGGUUCUGAAUGGAAGGGCCAUCGCUCAACGGAUAAAAGGUACUCCGGGGAUAACAGGCUGAUACCGCCCAAGAGUUCAUAUCGACGGCGGUGUUUGGCACCUCGAUGUCGGCUCAUCACAUCCUGGGGCUGAAGUAGGUCCCAAGGGUAUGGCUGUUCGCCAUUUAAAGUGGUACGCGAGCUGGGUUUAGAACGUCGUGAGACAGUUCGGUCCCUAUCUGCCGUGGGCGCUGGAGAAUUGAGGGGGGCUGCUCCUAGUACGAGAGGACCGGAGUGGACGCAUCACUGGUGUUCGGGUUGUCAUGCCAAUGGCAUUGCCCGGUAGCUAAAUGCGGAAGAGAUAAGUGCUGAAAGCAUCUAAGCACGAAACUUGCCCCGAGAUGAGUUCUCCCUGACUCCUUGAGAGUCCUGAAGGAACGUUGAAGACGACGACGUUGAUAGGCCGGGUGUGUAAGCGCAGCGAUGCGUUGAGCUAACCGGUACUAAUGAACCGUGAGGCUUAACCUU